rnacentral:rRNA from 1 species
AGAGUUUGAUCCUGGCUCAGGAUGAACGCUGGCGGCGUGCUUAACACAUGCAAGUCGAACGAACCUUCGGGUUAGUGGCGGACGGGUGAGUAACGCGUGAGAAUCUGCCCUCAGGAGGGGGAUAACGGUUGGAAACGACCGCUAAUACCCCAUAUGCCUACUGGUGAAAUGAAAUUCGCCUGAGGAUGAGCUCGCGUCUGAUUAGCUAGUUGGUGAGGUAAUGGCUCACCAAGGCUUCGAUCAGUAGCUGGUCUGAGAGGAUGAUCAGCCACACUGGGACUGAGACACGGCCCAGACUCCUACGGGAGGCAGCAGUGGGGAAUUUUCCGCAAUGGGCGAAAGCCUGACGGAGCAACGCCGCGUGAGGGACGAAGGCCUCUGGGCUGUAAACCUCUUUUCUCAAGGAAGAAGAUAUGACGGUACUUGAGGAAUAAGCCACGGCUAAUUCCGUGCCAGCAGCCGCGGUAAUACGGGAGUGGCAAGCGUUAUCCGGAAUUAUUGGGCGUAAAGCGUCCGCAGGCGGCUUAUCAAGUCUGCUGUUAAAGCGUGGAGCUUAACUCCAUCAUGGCAGUGGAAACUGAUAGGCUUGAGUAUGGUAGGGGCAGAGGGAAUUCCCGGUGUAGCGGUGAAAUGCGUAGAUAUCGGGAAGAACACCAGUGGCGAAGGCGCUCUGCUGGGCCAUUACUGACGCUCAUGGACGAAAGCCAGGGGAGCGAAAGGGAUUAGAUACCCCUGUAGUCCUGGCCGUAAACGAUGAACACUAGGUGUCGGGGGAAUCGACCCCUUCGGUGUCGUAGCUAACGCGUUAAGUGUUCCGCCUGGGGAGUACGCACGCAAGUGUGAAACUCAAAGGAAUUGACGGGGGCCCGCACAAGCGGUGGAGUAUGUGGUUUAAUUCGAUGCAACGCGAAGAACCUUACCAGGGUUUGACAUCCUGCGAACCUCUUAGAAAUUUGAGGGUGCCUUCGGGAAUGCAGUGACAGGUGGUGCAUGGCUGUCGUCAGCUCGUGUCGUGAGAUGUUGGGUUAAGUCCCGCAACGAGCGCAACCCACGUUUUUAGUUGCCAGCAUUUAGUUGGGCACUCUAGAAAGACCGCCGGUGAUAAACCGGAGGAAGGUGUGGAUGACGUCAAGUCAUCAUGCCCCUUACACCCUGGGCUACACACGUACUACAAUGCUACGGACAAAGGGCAGCAAACUCGCGAGAGCUAGCAAAUCCCAUAAACCGUGGCUCAGUUCAGAUCGUAGGCUGCAACUCGCCUACGUGAAGUAGGAAUCGCUAGUAAUCGCAGGUCAGCAUACUGCGGUGAAUACGUUCCCGGGCCUUGUACACACCGCCCGUCACACCAUGGAAGUUGGCCAUGCCCGAAGUCGUUACUCCAACCCUUGUGGAGGAGGAUGCCGAAGGUAGGGCUAAUGACUGGGGUGAAGUCAUAACAAGGUAACCGUA